rnacentral:lncRNA from 1 species
UCUUUUUUUUCAAGUCUCUAAUUUUUGCCUGGACUACCCUUGCGGGUCCUCCACCGAGACGCUCAUUUUUGCCUAAGCCGCCCUUUCGGGUUUUCAACUUAGCGAGCUAUUCUGUUUUUUCAUUCUUUUUUCAUUUGCAUAUACUUUUUUUUUAGGCAAAGUAUCUCUUAACUGCAUCUGAAUUCACAGGACGAGUGAAAUCCUCCCCAUCCAUUGUUGUAAGCAUCAAAGCUCCGCCUGAAAAGGCUCUCUUAACAACAUAUGGACCCUCGUAGUUUGGAGUCCACUUGCCCCGGCGGGCGCGAAAGACAAAACUUUCUUGAGCACAAGGUCACCUUCUCGGAACACACGAGGCUUGACCUUCUUGUCGAAUGCUUUCUUCAUUCUUUGCUGAUAUAACUGACCAUGGCACAUGGCAGUCAACCGCUUUUCUUCAAUCAAAUUCAGUUGGUCGUAACGACUCUGAAUCCAUUCAGCAUCAGUCAACUAGGGACCUGAGGGUAUAAUUUUCUUUUUUCUUUUGGAAAAAUUUUGAAAAUUUUUCCUGAUUUUUGAUUUUUUUUUUCUUUUUCACCCUCUUUUUUCUUUUUUUUUUCUUUUUUUUUUAUUGAUUACAUUUGUAAUGCCCCAGUUUGACUGGUUUGCUGAUUCUCAUGAUACAGCUGAAUGAGCUUCUUGUGCUCAAGAAGACGGGUAAUCUCGUCAGGAAUCCCCUUCAACAUCAUCUUCCUCUGCCUCAGAUACAAGGACUUCAAGAUUGGGAGAUGGCGUUGGAUCAUUAUGUUCAAUGGGUUUUAGGAUCAAUCUGCAUAAUGAUUUUGGUUAAGGAAAAAACUUCAGCAUUUAAACAAGCAAACCAUUAUGCAGAUGAAAAAAUCUGGAUAAUGAAAAGCUUUUGAAUUUAAACAAGCAAAUCAUUUAUGCAGAUGAAAAGCUGUUUUUGUUUUUCAGGGUUUUUUGUGAUCACUGAUUUCAUGCAA